rnacentral:rRNA from 1 species
UAUCUCUGUAGAGUCUGCAUAUCAAUAAGCGGAGGAAAAGAAACUAACUAGGAUUCCCUCAGUAACGGCGAGUGAAGCGGGAAGAGCUCAAAUUUGAAAUCUUCAAGGUUCUACCUUGACGAAUUGUAGUUUAAAGAAGUGUUUUCUGUUGGAGUUUUGGUAAAAGUUCUUUGGAAUAGGACAUCAUAGAGGGUGAGAAUCCCGUAUUUGACCAUUAUUUCCAGCUGUGUGAUACACUUUCAAAGAGUCGGAUUGUUUGGGAAUGCAGUCCAAAAUGGGUGGUAAAUUUCAUCUAAAGCUAAAUACUGGCGAGAGACCGAUAGCGAACAAGUACCGUGAGGGAAAGAUGAAAAGAACUUUGAAAAGAGAGUUAAACAGUACGUGAAAUUGUCAAAAGGGAAGCGUUUGACACCAGUGUUGUUUUCUCGAAAAUCAAUUAAAAAUGGCCUGAUUUUGUGUUGUAUUGACUUUAUCAGCUUUCUGCACUUUUUUCUUGUCUUUUUUAAUGCACUUUUCGUUUAACAAGUCAACAUCAAUUUCUUUUGUUGUAAAAGAGUCAUUGGAAGGUGGCUUUCACUUCGGUGAAAGUGUUUAUAGCCUUUGACUUCUGCAAUCGGAGAGAUUGAGGUCUGCAGCGUAGAUCCUUCGGGGUUAGAUACAUUUGUGCUAAGUUAUAGUUUUUCAUAGACAACAUGUUGACUAUGAUUAAUCAUGUAGCUUACUCGCUUAUGCUAUUUUACCUACGCUUAGGAUGUUGAACGCGCACAGAGUCUC